rnacentral:rRNA from 1 species
UACUCCUACGGGAGGCAGCAGUGGGGAAUUUUGGACAAUGGGGGCAACCCUGAUCCAGCAAUGCCGCGUGAGUGAAGAAGGCCUUCGGGUUGUAAAGCUCUUUUGUCAGGGAAGAAACGGUGAGGGCUAAUAUCCUUUGCUAAUGACGGUACCUGAAGAAUAAGCACCGGCUAACUACGUGCCAGCAGCCGCGGUAAUACGUAGGGUGCAAGCGUUAAUCGGAAUUACUGGGCGUAAGGCGUGCGCAGGCGGUUAUGUAAGUCAGAUGUGAAAUCCCCGGGCUCAACCUGGGAAUGGCAUUUGGGACUGCAUGGCUAGAGUGUGUCAGAGGGGGGUAGAAUUCCACGUGUAGCAGUGAAAUGCGUAGAGAUGUGGAGGAAUACCGAUGGCGAAAGCAGCCCCCUGGGAUAACACUGACGCUCAUGCACGAAAGCGUGGGGAGCAAACAGGAUUAGAUACCCUGGUAGUCCACGCCCUAAACGAUGUCUACUAGUUGUCGGGACUUAAUUGUCUUGGUAACGCAGCUAACGCGUGAAGUAGACCGCCUGGGGAGUACGGUCGCAAGAUUAAAACUCAAAGGAAUUGACGGGGACCCCCACAAGCGGUGGAGCAUGUGGA